CUACGGGUGGCUGCAGUGAGGAAUAUUGCACAAUGGGGGGAGCCCUGAUGCAGCAACGCCGCGUGGAGGAUGACGCAUUUCGGUGUGUAAACUCCUUUUAUAUGUCAAGAAAAUGACGGUAGCAUAUGAAUAAGCACCGGCUAACUCCGUGCCAGCAGCCGCGGUAAUACGGAGGGUGGCAAGCGUUACUCGGAAUCACUGGGCGUAAAGGACGCGUAGGCGGGUUGGAAAGUCAGGUGUGAAAUCCUACAGCUUAACUGUAGAACUGCACUUGAAACUUCUAAUCUAGAGUAUGGGAGGGGGGGAUGGAAUUAGUGGUGUAGGGGUAAAAUCCGUAGAUAUCACUAGGAAUACCUAAAGCGAAGGCGAUCUCCUGGAACAUUACUGACGCUAAGGCGUGAAAGCGUGGGGAGCAAACAGGAUUAGAUACCCCAGUAGUC
rnacentral:rRNA from 1 species